CAAGUGUGAAUGGAGUUCACACGGGUGCUCUUCGCCGAGUGUCCGAGGCGGCCGGUACGUUCACUGUGAAAAAAUUAGAGUGCUCAGAGUGAGCCCCGCCGGCUCGCAUACGAAAAGCAUGGAAUGAUGGAAAAUGGCCUCGUCCGCGCGUCAUCCGUCGAUCUCCGUUCACGACGAGCCAAUGAUCGAAAGGGGCGAUCGGGGCCACUCGUAUUGCGACGUUAGAGGUGAAAUUCUUGGAUCGUCGCAAGACGCACUGCAGCGACGGCGUGUGACAAGCACGUUUUCCUCGAUCAACAGCGAAAGUCGGAGGUUCGAAGACGAUCAGAUACCGUCGUAGUUCCGAUCAUAAACGAUGCCGACUGGCGCUCCGCCGGCGUUCACUUCG
rnacentral:lncRNA from 1 species